rnacentral:rRNA from 1 species
UCCUCCCUCUUUCUUCGUGCUUAACACAUGCAAGUCGAACGGAAAGGCCCUGCUUUUGUGGGGUGCUCGAGUGGCGAACGGGUGAGUAACACGUGAGUAACCUGCCCUUGACUUUGGGAUAACUUCAGGAAACUGGGGCUAAUACCGGAUAGGAACUCCUGCUGCAUGGUGGGGGUUGGAAAGUUUCGGCGGUUGGGGAUGGACUCGCGGCUUAUCAGCUUGUUGGUGGGGUAGUGGCUUACCAAGGCUUUGACGGGUAGCCGGCCUGAGAGGGUGACCGGCCACAUUGGGACUGAGAUACGGCCCAGACUCCUACGGGAGGCAGCAGUGGGGAAUAUUGCACAAUGGGCGGAAGCCUGAUGCAGCAACGCCGCGUGCGGGAUGACGGCCUUCGGGUUGUAAACCGCUUUCGCCUGUGACGACGCGUGAGUGACGGUAAUGGGUAAAGAAGCACCGGCUAACUACGUG